UACGGAGGGUGCAAGCGUUAUCCGGAUUCACUGGGUUUAAAGGGUGCGUAGGUGGGCUAGUAAGUCAGUGGUGAAAUCUCCGGGCUUAACCCGGAAACUGCCAUUGAUACUAUUAGUCUUGAAUACCAUGGAGGUGAGCGGAAUAUGUCAUGUAGCGGUGAAAUGCUUAGAUAUGACAUAGAACACCAAUUGCGAAGGCAG
rnacentral:rRNA from 1 species